UGGGGAAUAUUGCACAAUGGGCGCAAGCCUGAUGCAGCCAUGCCGCGUGUGUGAAGAAGGCCUUCGGGUUGUAAAGCACUUUCAGCGAGGAGGAAGGGUUCAGUGUUAAUAGCACUGUUCAUUGACGUUACUCGCAGAAGAAGCACCGGCUAACUCCGUGCCAGCAGCCGCGGUAAUACGGAGGGUGCAAGCGUUAAUCGGAAUUACUGGGCGUAAAGCGCACGCAGGCGGUUUGUUAAGUCAGAUGUGAAAUCCCCGCGCUUAACGUGGAACUGCAUUUGAAACUGGCAAGCUAGAAU
rnacentral:rRNA from 1 species